ensembl:snRNA U4 U4 spliceosomal RNA
AGCUUUGUGCAGUGGCCAUUUCAUAGCCGGUGAGGUUUAUCUGAGUCACUUGCUAAUUGAAAACUUUUCUUAAUACUCAUGAUGACUUGAAAUAUGGCUGUCAUUGGCAACUUUUGAGACUCGAUGGCAGG